rnacentral:tRNA from 1 species
ACUUGGGUAGUUUAAUAUAAAAUGUUGAUUUGUGGAAUCAAAGAUAUAGUAUAUAUCUCAGGUU